GGCUUGAUGGUCUAGUGGUAGGAUCCAUGCUUUGGAUGCAUGUGGCCUGGGUUCGAUUCCCAGUCGAGCCC